CCCCAGACUCCUACGGGAGGCAGCAGUGGGGAAUAUUGGGCAAUGGGCGCAAGCCUGACCCAGCAACGCCGCGUGAAGGAAGAAGGCUUUCGGGUUGUAAACUUCUUUUGACAGGGAAGAGCAGAAGACGGUACCUGUCGAAUAAGCCACGGCUAACUACGUGCCAGCAGCCGCGGUAAUACGUAGGUGGCAAGCGUUGUCCGGAUUUACUGGGUGUAAAGGGCGUGUAACCGGGCUGACAAGUCAGAUGUGAAAUCCGGGGGCUCAACCCCCGAACUGCAUUUGAAACUGUUGGUCUUGAGUAUCGGAGAGGCAGGCGGAAUUCCUGGUGUAGCGGUGAAAUGCGUAGAUAUUAGGAGGAACACCGGCGGCGAAGGCGGCCUGCUGGACCGUGACUGACGUUGAGGCUCGAGAGCGUGGGGAGCAAACAGGAUUAGAUACCCGCGUAAA
rnacentral:rRNA from 1 species